ACGGCGGUGCACGAGGGAGGAGGCGGCCGCCCGCGCACCCCCCCAGCCCCCGGUUAAAACAAAGACGCGACGCCACCCCCAGGCACCCCGUCCCCGGGAGGCUCCCCAUCCUAAGUCCCGGACAGCGGGCCUCGGGGGCAGGUUGAAAAGCCAUCGUGGCGCCGAAAUGAGGCUCGAGGAGGCAGAAUCCGAGGACGGGGUCAGUCCCCGCCAAGUCGGACCACAGUCCUUUCCAACCCAGUUCGCUCGUCCACGCCCAGAAAACCAGGGCAGAACCGCUUGUCAGGCAAACCAGGACGUUUCAAGGGAAUGACCGAGCUUUGAUCAUUGACCUCUGGAAUCUUCCAUCUUUGGUCAACUUUACUAAACUCCUGGCUCAGAUCUGGUCUUCCUCAGUGGCUGCUCUUUGUACUAAUAAGUUUUAAUGUGGGUUCCCAGGUACUACCAGGUGAGAUCACUUUAACAAUUUGUCCCUAAGACCACUGGAUCAUAGCCCUCAUCUCUCAGAUGUGAUGAUCUCAGUCUGUCUUCCUCCUUUCUUGUGUCUUUUUUUUUUUUUUUUUGCGGUACGCGGGCCUCUCACUGUUGUGGCCCCUUCCGUUGUGGAGCACAGGCUCCGGACGCGCAGGCUCAGCGGCCAUGGCUCACGGGCCCAGCCACUCCGCGGCAUGUGGGAUCUUCCUGGACCGGGGCUCGAACCCGUGUCCCCUGCAUCGGCAGGCGGACUCUCAACCACUGCACCACCAGGGAAGCCCUCUUGUGUCUUUUUGAUAUUUCCAGGGUUAUUUCACAGAUUUGCAUCACUUCUGCCUCUGUCAACCCAUUGGUUCUUAUUUGUCCCUUGGCUUUUAUUGAAAAGUGCCUACUUUUGCUAUGCUGCCCAUAAGGUGUGGCCUUGCUUACCCUUCACCUGACAGAGACUUCAGUACCUGCCAGGGCUGGGUCAGGAGGGCUUAAGAAUAACCAUAUGCUGCCUUCCACUCAAAGUUUGUCACUGAGUGUGGCCCAUCUGCCGACUCCAUCCUUACUUUUGUGAUUUUCUUCCUCUCAGCAGUCGCCUUUUCUUUCCAACAACCUUCUUUUAAGAGUCCCAUGGAUGAUUGAUUGGAUGAGACAGAAACCCAAAUCAAACAGCCUUAGGCAAAAAAAAAAAAGAAAUUAAUUGUCACCAAGAUUCCAAGGAAGCCUUGAAUAACUGAACAUGGAAGGCAGGCCUUAAAUGCAGCUUGUCUUUGGGCCCCUGGAUUCCAUUGUUUCUUAGGCCAUAGAACGGCUCUCAUUGGCCCAACCCAGGUCAGUUGUGGUCAUGGGGGCAGUGUUAUGUAAGAACAUAGCACUUCCUACAGAAACCACAUGAGUGGAAAUGAGGGAGAAGAAAUUCCUAGACAACACAGAUCGCUGUUUCUAAAGGUGGGUAGAGUCGUUGAACAGGUAAAGCAAUCUAUCCGUCACAGCUCCCUACAGAGCUGCCUGAAUAUGACUAAAUCACAAUAGAAAAGGUUCAAAUUCUCUCUUACAGGACUUCUGGACCCUUGAAAAUCAGGGGUAUGGUCAGACAGGGGUUUAGAUCCUUACUCUGUUCACUCACUGGAGCCUUAGUUCCAGCCUGUCUGGGACCCUGCUUUACUAGGUGUUAUAUUUUUUGGUUGUGAUAUGUUCAGGGUGGACCCAGAUUUCACAAAGAUAACCACUGGCCCCUUCUUAGCCAACUCUCCCUCACCUCCCAUCUUCCCCACGUCAGUAAAUGGUACUGUGGAUAAUCCAAUUGCCCAAUCUAGAAACCUGGGGGUCAUUCAUUCCUCUUUCUCCCUCUGCCAAUUCCACCUGCUAAAUAUCUUUCAAACUCUCCACUUCUCUCCAGCCCUGCUGCCUUCUCUCCUCUUCCAAGCCACCAUCACCUCUCAUCUUGCAGCCCCUUAGUCUUAUACCCUGUCAACCUAUUUUCCACAUUAUAGCCAGUGAUCUCUUUUUUAAAAAAUCUGCUUAUGUCCCUCACUAAUUAAAACUUUAGUAGCCUCCCAAUAUUAUGCUUCCAAACCCCUCAAUAUGGCUAGUAUGUCCCCAUCCCCCCGACCAUGCUUGACCUCUUGCUUAUCUCCUCUGCCAAAUGGUCCUCUUACUCUCUGUUAUCUUCAGUAGCAGACUUCUUGCAGUUUCUCAUUGAGACACACCCACUCCCACUUUCAUUUUUCCACAUGUGCUGUUCCCUCCCUCUGCAACACUCUUCCCCCCUACCCUUCAUUCAGCUGACCCUUCCUCAUGCUUCAAGUCUCAACUUAAACAUCAUUUCCUCUGGUAACCAUCCUUGGCUCUCCAGGCUGGCUUGUUUCCUUCUCAUACGUUCCUGUAGCACUAAGACCUACCAUUCAAAACUCAAGUCCCAUCUGUAACUACCUGUCUACCACCUGUCUUCCCUCCCAACCCUCCCUGAGGGUCCAGACCUUUCCUAUCAUGUUCACCACUGUAUCCUCAGCACUUACUGUGCCUGGUGCAUCAUCGUAGGUUCUAAACAAACGCGUAUUGAGGAAGUGCUGAAGGAGUUUCCUCAAAAGCCGAGGCCCUGGUGGGGAAGGCAGUGUCCUGCUGAGUGUAUCUGUUUUCCCUCCAUGCCCCCACUGGCAGCAGCAACUUCUCCACACCCAUGUCCAUACCUCACCUUGCCCUCAGUCCUCUGUCAGGAAGCUGGAAGCCCUCUGAACAGGAUGGCUUUGUUCUACAAUACAAGGUCCCGAAGGGAGGAGGAAACCCAGUCCGCCGGAAGUGGAAGUUGGAAGGAAAGCUGAGGCCUAGGAAGUGGGAAGAUGGCUCCUGGGACCCGCAAUCAUGUAUCGGCAUCUCGUGCAUGCAUGAAGAGGGGAAGAAGACAAGCUGCGGGGCUAGAGUAAGAUUUGCACACCUUGGGUCCUGGGACCGUCCUGCUCAGCUGAGUGGAAUACCAAACGAGGGUGUCUUGGAGCUGCACUUCACUUCAGCCAGGCAGUCGACAGGAGAAGCAGCGAGCGAGACCGACAGACUGUCACUGGCAAAAUGAACUGUCACCUCCCAUUUUUCAGAGGCACGGGGGAUGAAUUGCAGCCUUGAACCAUGCGGCCCGCUGCUGAUUGAGUUCCGCUGUCUUAGAACCCCUUCGAACAAGGCGAGUUCAUUUCAGACUGACGUCCCACCGCUCAUCAAUUUAAGAGCCAGUAAAAUUAACCACUUCGGAGCUGACUUGCUCCCUCCCCCUGCUUGGAUUCUGCAUCCUGAAAGGUCACCAAAUAAAUCUCUCUGGGUCCUACUAUGCAGCUUGGAGACAGGGUCUCAGAAGAGGAGACCGAGCCAGAGAUAGCCCAGGCCUGAAAGGUUGCCGAGGCCCCCUCACAGCCGCCGGUCCAUGGCGGUGGUGUGACAAGACAGGCCUUUGCUAGCUCUGCUCCCACCCAAUCAGCUUCUGCUCCCAAGAGAUCUAGGGUUGGGUAGAGUUGGGUGGCUGAAAAUGGAGGUGCUACAGAAGACCCCCUAGUCUUGUGGCAGAGACCUCUGUGCACUGCUAGUCUCCCAUCUGCUGUGGACUGAAUGUUUGUGCCCCACACCCAUUCAUAUGUUGGAACCCUAAUCCCCAAUAUAAUGGUAUUCGGAAGUGGACAUUUGGGAGGUAAUCAGGGUUAAGUUAGGUCACGGGGGUGGGGGCCCCAAUGUUGGGAUAUGAUGCCUUUAUAAAAUGGAAGAGAAGCUGAAACCUUUUUUUCUUGGCCAUGUGAGGAGGAUAUAGCAAGGAGACAGCAGCCAUCUGUAAACCAGGAAGAGGACUCACCAGGAACGUCACUAUGCUGGCACUCUGAUCUUGGACUUCCAGUCUCCAGAACCAGCUGCCUCUCAUGAUAAAGGCUGAAAGUACCAGACUCUUGCUUUCCCAGGUUCACUUGAAGCUAAAGACAGCCACAUGAGCCAGUUCUGGCCAAUGAGAAGUAAGAGGAAGACCGUACUGGGAGAUGUCUGGGGACAUUUUUCUUCUAGUUAAAAGGAUGAGCAUGCAUGAGGCCCCUGCACUUUUUUCCUUCAUGGCUGUGAACACAGUUGUAUGAAAACAUGAUCUUCAACUAUGGCAACCAUGCAAUAGCAAGUCUAAAGACCAAGAGCCAAUGCUGAGAGUAAAGAAAUAAAAGGAUGAAAGGAGUCUGCUCAGUUGUAUUUUUCAGCUGAUGAACCAAAGUAGGACCUCUAGACUUCUUUUGUGAGACAGUGAAAACUGCUCUUGAGGCUUUUUGUUAAGUGUUCUUGUUACCUGCCUCUGAAAGCAUUUUGAUACAUUGAAAAUGCAGAAUGAUACAGAAACUGGAAUUAAGACAUCUCCAAACUGUAACCGAGGCUUUCUGAGAAGUCCACAGGGCUCUGGACAGCCCCUACCAACCAGUGAUGGGAGUUACCUCGUAAGAUGAAAUCUAUGUGCCAACCCUAUUGUCAAACAAAUAUUUGUCUGGGAGUAAGGAGAAUUGAAUCCUACUUUGAGGCUUUGACAUUACCUGGAUAUAUGGCCUUAAACUAUUAAACAUUUCCGGGUCUCAGUUUCCUUAUCCACAAAAUGGCAUUAGGAUUGGUCUUCUCCAAUGAGUAAUUCAUGAUCUGCCAGAGACUCUCAAGCCUGAACUGAUGGGUCUCCAAGCUGGUUGCUGCUACCACGUACCUCUUCCCUUUACUCCGCACCAGGGAAGGAAAUUCACCCGAAACAGGGACAUCAACUUUCUAGCUCUGUUUGGGGACUUUCCUGUCCCUAAAAGGCCCUGGAGGAAAUAACGUAAACCGGCAUUUGGGGCGACUGCUAAGAGGCUAAAUCUUGUGACACUGGGAGCCCAAUGGCGUGGUUCAAGGAGCCCAAGAGUGGCCCAGUGGAGAGUCUUCUAUCAGCCAGAGGGGCAGAGCCUCUGUGCGAGGUGUGUCAGGAAUGGGUGUGACCGCACCAGAAGACACAUCAAGUGGGGAAAAUCAGGUGUGCAGAUAACAUUUUGUAAAUGCCUUUCUAAUUCUCAGUGCUCCACGAAGGAAUCUCAGAGAUUAAAUUAAGCUGUUAACCCUCUAGGCACUCCUGUCGUUUAUUGUUAAGGAAUUAAUAGGAAUGUGGGAAUGCAGAUGGCCUGGCUGUCAGCUCGGCGAGGCGAUUUUUCUGAUCUCCACGGACGUUUCCAGCAUCUUUCAUUAAGCGCUCAUGUACCAAUUUGUCAUUUUAACCGAGCAGGAAAGAAACUCACUGAACUCCCUGGCUCAGGUGCUGGGAGUUAAAUCCUCCCACGACAAGGCCUACAGGGUUGCAUCCGCAGGGGAAGCUCCGGCUCCUGGCGAUGGUGAGUGGCUUCUGAUGGAGGUGGGGUGGAGUGAAGCCAUUUCAGGAAGGAAGUCGGGAUCCCCAAACCUGGCGGUCCUGAGCACAGGUUUCAGAGGAUUGCAGGAGAGUCCUUUCUAGAAAUACUAAACAGAGCAGAGAUGUAAAGAAACUUCAACUUCCUCCUCAAACGCUCCAGGACGCUGGUAGCCUGCUCAACGAGGGGAGGCGCCACCUACAGGAGACAGGAAGACCUGCAACCUGGUCUGGAGACUUCAACAGUUCGAUGGCAGGGAUUAACCCGGCCCCACCCUUCCUUCUCCUCGUUGCAGCCCCUAACGUUUAUCGAAUGCUUUUCUCGUGCCAGACAUUGUCCUAAGCUCUUGACGUGUAUUAACUCUUUUAAACUUGACGAUAACCCUAUGAGUGUAACUCAGGGCCAAGGAUUUAACUCAGUGGGCCUUCAGUUCUGCACUUUGCCGUUCCCAUAUUUUUGAGACAGCCUUACGCGUCUGGAGAGAAAAUUGUUGCUAAGGGUUAACUGCACUGCAGCGGCAGACAAAGCUGGCCUGAUGGCAGGAAUACUGUUCCCCGAUGGCGGUUCCACGGGCACCUAAUUAUGAAAAAGUUUGAAUGACGAUAAUAAUGAUGUCAGUGGGGAGCCACAGAAGAAUUCUGAGCUGGGGAAGGACAUGAUCAAGACAGCAUCUUGGGAUAAUGUAUCUAAUUGCUGUGUUCAGGGGUGGCUUUGCAGAGAGACCAGGUAGGAGGAAAUUUCAGAGUAAGGUGAUGAGGGCCUGGAGUACGGGCUGGCAGUGGAAGUUAAAAGGAGUGAUACUGGGAUGGAAAAUUCAAUGACCCUCUCGCCAGAUGGGAAAAGGAGGCAGCAGACAGAGAGUGUCUAUAUAGCUGAAAGAGCAGAAGCACACUUAACAGAGAUAUGGAAAUUUGGAGAAGUGGCCAGCUGUGUUUGGAUGAGAUGAUAGGUUCGUUUAGACACAUAGAAUUUUAGGCAGUGGCUGGUUCUCAAGUGAAAACACCCAGCCUCUGGUUAGAAAUUCAGGACCGCAUCUGGAGAGAGAGGUCAGAGCUGGAAAACCGGACACGGACAUUAGACGCAUGGAGGUGACCGUGUAGGAAGAGAAAAGCCAGAGACUGAAGCCAGCCUUGAAGGUCGACUAGUUACAAGGAGUGGGAAGGUAAGGAGGGGCUGGUGAAAGGGCCAGAGUCAGCAGGAUCAGCAAAGGGUCUCAGAAACCAAAGAAAGGGGGUAGACAGUAUUUUGAUGUCCAGCCCUCUGUCAUGAGGGAUGGCAUUGGCUGUCAGACUUUGCGAGGCCUCUUUUAGGAGCAGAGGGAAACAUCCUUCAAUUUGACUCCCUUGCCUCUAACCACCUGGGUGGCUGGGGGCCCCAAGGCUCUGAGCCUUUGAAGAAAAAUCCAGGGAAAGGAAAACGGAGAAAUAUGAUCAAUAACAACAAGCCUUGUUUUUUUCCACUUCAUAUGCAGGAAGCGAUCGAGGGCUGUAGCUGGUGCUAUGAUGGGUGUAUUCUGCAUGUUCAAAAGGCUCACUUGUCCUCUGACUUCUGGUUGGGUUCAGCCAAUGGUCAAUGCUCAAGAAACAGUGCCUCUACCUGAAGUUUUUAAAGAGGAAGGAGGACACGUUUAUAUCAUGCAGCAAGUCACUGGAGAAGACUGAAGAUGUGGAAACUGAGCCUCAAAGAGCUUGAGAAACUUGUUCAUGGUCAUCUAGGUGGGGACACGGGUUCAAGCCCUGGUCUGGGAAGAUCCCACAUGCCGCGGAGCAACUAAGCCUGUGCGCCACAACUACUGAGCCUGCGCUCUAGAGCCUGCGAACCACAACUACCGAGCCUGGGUGCCACAACUACUGAAGCCCGUACGCCUAGAGCCCGUGCUCCGCAACAAGAGAAGCCACCACAGUGAGAAGCCCGCUCACCACAACGGAGAGUAGCCCCCCACUCGCCGCGACCAGAGAAAGCCCGCGCACAGCAACAAAGACCCAACACCACCAAAAAUA